AACAAACGCUGGCGGCGUGCCUAAUACAUGCAAGUCGAACGGGGAAAGCUUUCGGGUGAGUACUAGUGGCGCACGGGUGAGGAACGCGUGGAUAAUCUGCCUUAGAGUGGGGGAUAACUAGUCGAAAGAUUAGCUAAUACCGCAUAAGACCACAGGAGCUGCGGCUCAAGGGGUCAAAGGUUUUUCGCUCUAAGAUGAGUCCGCGUAAGAUUAGCUAGUUGGUGAGGUAACGGCUCACCAAGGCAACGAUCUUUAACUGGUCUGAGAGGAUGAUCAGUCACACUGGAACUGAGACACGAUCCAGACUCCUACGGGAGGCAGCAGUAGGGAAUAUUGCACAAUGGAGGAAACUCUGAUGCAGCGACGCCGCGUGAGUGAUGAAGGCCUUCGGGUCGUAAAGCUCUGUCGCAGGGGAAUAACACAAUGAAGGUACCCUGUAAGAAAGGAUCGGCUAACUUCGUGCCAGCCGCCGCUGUAAUAC
rnacentral:rRNA from 1 species